UGGGGUAUGGCUCUCUGGUAGAGCAUGUGCCUAGCGUGUGUGAGGCUCUCAGUUCAAUCCCCAGUACCCCAA
rnacentral:tRNA from 1 species